rnacentral:lncRNA from 1 species
UAAGAACUUUUGCUAGAAUAUGGAGGCCAGAGUAACUGGGCUUUAAUGCUAGAUUCUGCACAGAGAAGACAAAGGAAAAAACAAGAUGAAAUAUUUGGCAGAAUGCUGAAGAUGUGUUCCCAUGAGUUCCUGCCUCCUUGUACCCCACUGAGUGGAAUGUUAAAAAUACGGAGAAAGAAUUUAAGACCUGCCAGAUUGGAUCAUGCCAGUGUUUCCUAUAGCCUAAGAUUCUACCUUCAACUGUGGCAGUAAGAUAAAUUUUGUGCAAUUUCUACAGAUGCAGUCCCACCUCUGGCCAUGGCCAAAAUUAGCUGGAUAAUUCUUUGAAUCUGGCUAAUGUGGAAUCUUGCAAGGACAAAGAGGAUUUGCUCACGAACUGAUUCCAGGCACUUGUACAUCACUGUGCCCCUGCUUCUAUUUUGCCUCAUGAUAUGGUAAG